ACUGUCUUCAGAGUCUAGAUGUGGAAAGAAGUAUUUCCUCUUCUGCUGGAGUCAAAUUAUCUUCCAGGCCUUGGUUUUUUGUUUCCCAUCUAAAGAUCAGUCUUUUCUCCUAAAUGACUGACACUGAAUAGCCAUCCUUUCAGGAGAGAGUCCAUUUCAGACCCACAGGAAGUAUGACCUUAGUCUCAAGACACCUUUAUCAAAAUACAACAGUUCUAAUAGCUGCCUAAGACUUAUUCAGAUGAAUCUUUUUGUUAUACAACCACAUAAGCAUAUGGAGAAAGAGAAUAUUUUGGGAAGUACCUGUUUAUGCAACAUGUUUUAGCCUUUCAGAUAGUUCCUGUGGUACACAUUUGGCUUGUACACUCAAAAGAUGGACGUGAAUACCACUCUAUCAGAUUUUAGGUGAAGUAGAUCUUUCAGAACCUGUCCUGGCCCAAACCUGAAAAUGGUCCUGAAGUCACAAUGUCUCCAGAAUCUAGGAGUGCCUCUCUGAAGUGCUUGGCAUGAAAAUCCUUACAAGAUGCCAGCACCAUGCUCUUGGAGUUCCCGGCUUCCAG
rnacentral:lncRNA from 10 species